rnacentral:rRNA from 1 species
CAGCUUACACAUGCAAGUCGAGCGGGCGUAGCAAUACGUCAGCGGCAGACGGGUGAGUAACGCGUGGGAACGUACCUUUUGGUUCGGAACAACACAGGGAAACUUGUGCUAAUACCGGAUAAGCCCUUACGGGGAAAGAUUUAUCGCCGAAAGAUCGGCCCGCGUCUGAUUAGCUAGUUGGUAGGGUAACGGCCUACCAAGGCGACGAUCAGUAGCUGGUCUGAGAGGAUGAUCAGCCACAUUGGGACUGAGACACGGCCCAAACUCCUACGGGAGGCAGCAGUGGGGAAUAUUGGACAAUGGGGGCAACCCUGAUCCAGCCAUGCCGCGUGAGUGAUGAAGGCCCUAGGGUUGUAAAGCUCUUUUGUGCGGGAAGAUAAUGACGGUACCGCAAGAAUAAGCCCCGGCUAACUUCGUGCCAGCAGCCGCGGUAAUACGAAGGGGGCUAGCGUUGCUCGGAAUCACUGGGCGUAAAGGGUGCGUAGGCGGGUCUUUAAGUCAGGGGUGAAAUCCUGGAGCUCAACUCCAGAACUGCCUUUGAUACUGAAGAUCUUGAGUUCGGGAGAGGUGAGUGGAACUGCGAGUGUAGAGGUGAAAUUCGUAGAUAUUCGCAAGAACACCAGUGGCGAAGGCGGCUCACUGGCCCGAUACUGACGCUGAGGCACGAAAGCGUGGGGAGCAAACAGGAUUAUAUACCCUGGUAGUCCACGCCGUAAACGAUGAAUGCCAGCCGUUAGUGGGUUUACUCACUAGUGGCGCAGCUAACGCUUUAUGCAUUCCGCCUGGGGAGUACGGUCGCAAGAUUAAAACUCAAAGGAAUUGACGGGGGCCCGCACAAGCGGUGGAGCAUGUGGUUUAAUUCGACGCAACGCGCAGAACCUUACCAGCCCUUGACAUGUCCAGGACCGGUCGCAGAGAUGUGACCUUCUCUUCGGAGCCUGGAACACAGGUGCUGCAUGGCUGUCGUCAGCUC